rnacentral:rRNA from 1 species
UGACAACAGAUUGUCCNGCUCAGGNUGANGNUAGUACAGGUUAACACAUGCAGUCGAGGGCAGCGGGUCUUAGCUUGUUAAGACUGCCGGCGACCGGCGCACGGGUGAGUAACGCGUAUCCAACCUUCCCNUUAGUAGGGCAUAGCCCGUASAAAUGCGGAUUAAUACCCUAUGUUCUUCGUCGAUGGCAUCUGAAGUGAAGCAAAGGUUUACCGCUAAGGGAUGGGGAUGCGUCUGAUUAGGCAGCAGGCGGGGUAACGGCCCACCUGGCCCACGAUCAGUAGGGGUUCUGAGAGGAAGGUCCCCCACAUUGGAACUGAGACACGGUCCAAACUCCUACGGGAGGCAGCAGUGAGGAAUAUUGGUCAAUGGACGUGAGUCUGAACCANCCAAGUAACGUGCAGGAUGACNGCCCUAUGGGUUGUAAACUGCUUUUAUGCGGGGAUAAANUGCGCCCGUGUGGCGUUUUGUAGUACCCAUGAUAAGACCGCUAAUUCCGUGCACACCCCGGUAUACGAAGUCCGGCUUACCGGAUUAUUGGUUUAAGGACCNGCGAGCUAACUNANUGAAUUNCCCCACG